GACGAACGCUGGCGGCGCGCUUAACACAUGCAAGUCGAGCGAGAACCAUGCCUUCGGGCAUGGGGACAGCGGCGAACGGGUGAGUAACACGUGGGUAAUCUGCCCUUGACAUCGGGAUAGCCCGGGGAAACCCGGAUUAAUACCGAAUAGCCUCCGAAGCCCUCGGGCGUCGGAGAAAAGGUAGCUUCGGCCUCUGGUCAAGGAUGAGCCCGCGGCGGAUUAGCUUGUUGGCGGGGUAACGGCCCACCAAGGCGACGAUCCGUAGCUGGUCUGAGAGGACGAUCAGCCACACUGGGACUGAGACACGGCCCAGACUCCUACGGGAGGAAGCAGUGGGGAAUCUUGCGCAAAUGCGGGAAACCGUGACGCAGCGACGCCGCGUGGGGGAAGAAGGCCUUCGGGUUGUAAACCUCUUUCAGGAGGGACGAAGCUACUCGGGUUAAUAGCCCAGAGGGUGACGGUACCUCCAGAAGAAGCCCCGGCUAACUACGUGCCAGCAGCCGCCGUAAAAC
rnacentral:rRNA from 1 species